rnacentral:rRNA from 1 species
AGAGUUUGAUCCUGGCUCAGGACGAACGCUGGCGGCGUGCUUAACACAUGCAAGUCGAGCGGAAAGGCCCUUUGGGGUACUCGAGCGGCGAACGGGUGAGUAACACGUGAGCAACCUGCCCUUGGCUUUGGGAUAACCCUCGGAAACGGGGGCUAAUACCGAAUAUGCACAUGCUGUCGCAUGGUGGUGUGUGGAAAGUUUUUCGGCUGGGGAUGGGCUCGCGGCCUAUCAGCUUGUUGGUGGGGUGAUGGCCUACCAAGGCGACGACGGGUAGCCGGCCUGAGAGGGCGACCGGCCACACUGGGACUGAGACACGGCCCAGACUCCUACGGGAGGCAGCAGUGGGGAAUAUUGCACAAUGGGCGAAAGCCUGAUGCAGCGACGCCGCGUGAGGGAUGACGGCCUUCGGGUUGUAAACCUCUUUCAGCAGGGACGAAGCGUGAGUGACGGUACCUGCAGAAGAAGCGCCGGCCAACUACGUGCCAGCAGCCGCGGUAAGACGUAGGGCGCGAGCGUUGUCCGGAUUUAUUGGGCGUAAAGAGCUCGUAGGCGGCUUGUCGCGUCGACUGUGAAAACCCGCGGCUCAACCGUGUGGUCUGCAGUCGAUACGGGCAGGCUAGAGUUCGGUAGGGGAGACUGGAAUUCCUGGUGUAGCGGUGAAAUGCGCAGAUAUCAGGAGGAACACCGGUGGCGAAGGCGGGUCUCUGGGCCGAUACUGACGCUGAGGAGCGAAAGCGUGGGGAGCGAACAGGAUUAGAUACCCCCGUAGUCC